rnacentral:misc_RNA from 1 species
UAAUAAGUGUUUUAUGGCACUUCUUAAAUCCAUAUCCACCUUGUGUGCAAUGUCAGGCCGUAUUUCUUAUUGAGGAUCGGACCAACAUCAACUUAUUUUUUAACUUCUUGUCUGAAAACUAUUAUGAAUAAACAAUUCAAAAUA